UACAUAGGGACCAAGCGUUGUUCGGAUUUACUGGGCGUAAAGGGCGCGUAGGCGGCAAUUCAAGUCAUCUGUGAAAUCUCCGGGCUUAACUCGGAACGGUCAGAUGAUACUGCUUUGCUAGAGUGCGGAAGGGGCAAUCGGAAUUCUCGGUGUAGCGGUGAAAUGCGUAGAUAUCGAGAGGAACACCUGCGGCGAAGGCGGGUUGCUGGGCUGACACUGACGCUGAGGCGCGAAAGCUAGGGGAGCGAACGGG
rnacentral:rRNA from 1 species